GACGAACGCUGGCGGCGUGCUUAACACAUGCAAGUCGAACGGAAAGGCCCUGCUUUUUUGGGGUUCUCGAGUGGCGAACGGGUGAGUAACACGUGAGUAACCUGCCCUUGACUUUGGGAUAUCUUCAGGAAACUGGGGCUAAUACCGGAUAGGAUCUCCUGCUGCAUGGUGUGGGUUGGAAAGUUUCGGCGGUUGGGGAUGGACUCGCGGCUUAUCAGCUUGUUGGUGGGGUAGUGGCUUACCAAGGCUUUGACGGGUAGCCGGCCUGAGAGGGUGACCGGCGAGAAUGGGACUGAGAGAGGGAAAAGAAUGGAACGGGAGGCAGGAGUGGGGAAUAUUGCACAAUGGGCGGAAGCCUGAUGAAGAAACGCGGGGAGGGGGAAGACGGCGUACGGGUUGUAAAACGAAUUAGAAUGUGAAGAAGAGUGAGUGACGGUAAUGGGUAAAGAAGCACCGGCUAACUACGUG
rnacentral:rRNA from 1 species